rnacentral:rRNA from 1 species
AUGAACGCUAGCGGCAGGCCUAACACAUGCAAGUCGAGGGGCAUCACGAGGUAGCAAUACUUUGGUGGCGACCGGCGCACGGGUGCGUAACGCGUAUGUAACCUACCUAUAACAGGGGCAUAACACUGAGAAAUUGGUACUAAUUCCCCAUAAUAUUCGGAGAGGCAUCUCUCCGGGUUGAAAACUCCGGUGGUUAUAGAUGGACAUGCGUUGUAUUAGCUAGUUGGUGAGGUAACGGCUCACCAAGGCAACGAUACAUAGGGGGACUGAGAGGUUAACCCCCCACACUGGUACUGAGACACGGACCAGACUCCUACGGGAGGCAGCAGUGAGGAAUAUUGGUCAAUGGACGCAAGUCUGAACCAGCCAUGCCGCGUGCAGGAAGACGGCUCUAUGAGUUGUAAACUGCUUUUGUACGAGGGUAAACUCACCUACGUGUAGGUGACUGAAAGUAUCGUACGAAUAAGGAUCGGCUAACUCCGUGCCAGCAGCCGCGGUAAUACGGAGGAUUCAAGCGUUAUCCGGAUUUAUUGGGUUUAAAGGGUGCGUAGGCGGUUUGAUAAGUUAGAGGUGAAAUCCCGGGGCUUAACUCCGGAACUGCCUCUAAUACUGUUAGACUAGAGAGUAGUUGCGGUAGGCGGAAUGUAUGGUGUAGCGGUGAAAUGCUUAGAGAUCAUACAGAACACCGAUUGCGAAGGCAGCUUACCAAACUAUAUCUGACGUUGAGGCACGAAAGCGUGGGGAGCAAACAGGAUUAGAUACCCUGGUAGUCCACGCCGUAAACGAUGUCGACUUGGAGGUUGUGCCCUUGAGGCGUGGCUUCCGGAGCUAACGCGUUAAGUCGACCGCCUGGGGAGUACGGCCGCAAGGUUGAAACUCAAAGGAAUUGACGGGGGCCCGCACAAGCGGAGGAACAUGUGGUUUAAUUCGAUGAUACGCGAGGAACCUUACCCGGGCUUGAAAGUUACUGACGAUUCUGGAAACAGGAUUUCCCUUUGGGGCAGGAAACUAGGUGCUGCAUGGUUGUCGUCAGCUCGUGCCGUGAGGUGUCGGGUUAAGUCCCAUAACGAGCGCAACCCCUACCGUUAGUUGCCAUCAGGUCAAGCUGGGCACUCUGGCGGGACUGCCGGUGUAAGCCGAGAGGAAGGUGGGGAUGACGUCAAAUCAGCACGGCCCUUACGUCCGGGGCUACACACGUGUUACAAUGGUAGGUACAGAGGGUCGCUACUCCGUGAGGAGAUGCCAAUCUCGAAAGCCUAUCUCAGUUCGGAUUGGAGGCUGAAACCCGCCUCCAUGAAGUUGGAUUCGCUAGUAAUCGCGCAUCAGCCAUGGCGCGGUGAAUACGUUCCCGGGCCUUGUACACACCGCCCGUCAAGCCAUGGAAGCUGGGGGUGCCUGAAGUUCGUGACCGCAAGGAGCGACCUAGGGCAAAACCGGUAACUGGGGCU